rnacentral:ncRNA from 1 species
GGUCUGGCGGGAGGCUCUGACACGCGGUCCAAACCCCGGCCGCCGGGACCGCGCCGAGCCACUGGCGAGACGGACCCGUCUGAUC